rnacentral:lncRNA from 1 species
CAUAAAAUUAAUUUUAUAGCAAGUUGGUCAAUUGACCAAUAUAGUAGUGACACGCAGAAAGAAAUUGUGACACCCCGAAAAUAGGUAUACAUCACCCAUCUUGGGUCGCCAGAUACAUGGUACAGAAUACAAAUACAAUCUUAAUUAUACAACAAGAGAGCUGUGAGUUUAAAUACAAAUACUGUCUUCUAGACAAUAUCCACUCUCAGAAUAAGUCCUCAUUACAUUUAUUUUCACACUAUUUAACAGAAUAGUGAGGACUACUAGCUAAUACUAUCAUCCGGAUCAUCACUCCGUUCCCCUACUCGUCCCAGUUACGUUCUCAUUUCCUGAAGAGAACAGUGAAAGAAAGGGUGAGCUCAACUAGCCUAGUAAGAAAUAUUAUGACUAAGAUAAUGCAGGAUAAAUUAUCAUUAGCCUUCAACAAUGUUAAACUGAUAAAAUACAAUAGACAUCAAGUUUAACUGCAGCGGAACAAACAAUCCAUUAAAAGAGUCAAGUAAAGAAUAAAAUCUACUAUCUUUUAUAAUUUAAAAAGUUUUUCAUCACUUUUAUCGCUGAGACUCAGCUCAAUAAAUAAUCCACAUCAUUAAAUCAUCCCUGCACUACAGACCAAGGAUAUUCAUUAGUAUCACGACCACAAAUUAUCCAUGCACUACGGGUCAAAGAUAAUUGUGUUUUCAUCAACGGUUCUGAUCAUGCCAUAAAAUAAUUCAUCUUUGCUCCCUUGGCCGAAAAGAAUCCAUAUCCAUCAAUGCACUACGGGCCAAUGAGAACUUUUAUCACAUCAUUUGUAACAUUACGGUCAUGAUUAUACCGAAUAAUCCCUGGUCAUAAUCAUACCAAGUCCAUUUAUGCACUACAGGCCACAGAUGACUUUCAACAUAAUAUAAACAUGAGGAUGAUGACAAUGAUAUAAGAAUUCAAUAAAAUAAGUUCAUGAAUUAAUUUGUUCAGGAACCAAUAACAUCCAAAUUGUCAACAUGAUACUUCUUUGUAAAGUAAAAUUCAAGAAUGCUCAGAAGAAUAUUUUCAUGAAAAGAUACUGGAUGAAGCGCAAAUAUCAAGGAUAUUCCACUAAUUUCAUGGAGUAUAGAAGUCAAAACUUUAACCAACUGAGUAUAAUAAAGAAUGGAAUAACAAAAAAAAUAUCAUGCAUGCGGUACUUCGCAUAGACAGGUUAUUCCAACAGAAUAAUAAAGACGGAACCAGGUCCGGUGUAAAACACACAGACAGGAUAUUACAACAGAAUAAUAAAGACGGAACCAGGUCCGGUGUAAAACACACAGACAGGAUAUUCCAACAGAAUAAUAAAGACGGAAUAAUAUAAGAAUUUCACCAAGUAUAAGGGAGUCUGCGUAUACAGGUUAUUCCAACAGAAUAAAUAAGAAUGGAAUAACAUAAGAAUUUCACCAAGUACAGGAUAUGCCACAUAUACAGGUUAUGUAUAGGGUAUGCCGCGUAUACAGGUUAUUCCAAUCGAAUAAUAAAGAAUGGAAUAACAGAAGUUCUCUUCGUGAAUAAGAAAGAAUAACACCCCUUACGGGUACAACAAAUAAUAUUUCUGACCGUAAAAGACACUGGAUAUCGAAGUAGUGAAGUGGCAGAACACUCUUUUUCUUUCUCUCUCUAGAGUUUCAGUGAAUUCG